rnacentral:rRNA from 1 species
CCGGAUAUGACUGUCUGCCGCAUGGUGGGUGGUGGAAAGUUCUUGGGCUUUGGUCUGGGUUCGGCUGGGGAUGGGCCUGCGGCCUAUCAGCUUGUUGGUGGGGUGAUGGCCUACCAAGGCGACGACGGGUAGCCGGCCUGAGAGGGCGACCGGCCACACUGGGACUGAGACACGGCCCAGACUCCUACGGGAGGCAGCAGUGGGGAAUAUUGCGCAAUGGGCGGAAGCCUGACGCAGCGACGCCGCGUGGGGGAUGACGGCCUUCGGGUUGUAAACCUCUUUCGCCAUCGACGAAGGUUCUGUGGUUGUGAGGCUGCAGGGUUGACGGUAGGUGGAGAAGAAGCGCCGGCCAACUACGUGCCAGCAGCCGCGGUAAUACGUAGGGUGCGAGCGUUGUCCGGAAUUAUUGGGCGUAAAGAGCUCGUAGGCGGUGUGUCGCGUCGGCCGUGAAAACCUGCAGCUUAACUGUGGGCGUGCGGUCGAUACGGGCAUCACUGGAGUUCGGCAGGGGAGACUGGAAUUCCUGGUGUAGCGGUGAAAUGCGCAGAUAUCAGGAGGAACACCGGUGGCGAAGGCGGGUCUCUGGGCCGAUACUGACGCUGAGGAGCGA